rnacentral:rRNA from 1 species
CCUACGGGAUGCAGCAGUAGGGAAUUUUCGGCAAUGGGCGGAACCCUGACCGAGCAACGCCGCGUGUAUGAAGAAGGUCUUCGUAAUGUAAAGUUCUUUUAACGGGGAGGAAAGUGCAAUUUGACGGUACCUGAAGAAUAGGCUCCGGCUACAUACGUGCCAGCAGCUGCGGUAGUACGUAGGGAGCGAGCGUUAGCCGGAAUGAUAGGGCGAAACGGGUUCGUAGAUGGCAGAGAAAGUCUUUUGUAAAAAUGCUGGGCUAAACCGAGUAGUGCAAAAGAUACUGGAAAGCUAGAGUAUGACAGAGGGAAGUGGAACUACAGGUGUAGCGGUGAAAUGCGUAAAUAUCUGUAAGAACACCGGUGGCGAAGGCGGCUGCCUGGGUCAAGACUGACGUUGAGGUACGAAAGCGUGGGGAGCAAACAGGAUUAGAUACCCUAGUAGUC